rnacentral:rRNA from 1 species
UACGUAGGGGGCUAGCGUUGUCCGGAAUCAUUGGGCGCAAAGCGCGUGUAGGCGGCCCGGUAAGUCCGCUGUGAAAGCCCACGGCUCAACCGUGGAGGGUCAUUGGAAACUGGGGGACUUGAGUGCAGAAGAGGAAAGCGGAAUUCCUGGUGUAGCGGUGAAAUGCGCAGAUAUCAGGAGGAACACCGGUGGCGAAGGCGGUGCUCUGGGCCAGUACUGACGCUGAGGAGCGAAAGCGUGGGGAGCAAACAGG